AGCAGCCGCGGUAAUUCCAGCUCCAAUAGCGUAUAUUAAAGUUGUUGCAGUUAAAAAGCUCGUAGUUGAAUUUCGGGAUCAAUUUGCUGGUCGUGCCUCUGGUACGUACUGGUAUUAUUGGUUUCUCCCUUCUGACGAACCAUGAUGUCAUUAAUUUGAUGUCGUGGAGAAUCAGGACUGUUACUUUGAAAAAUUAGAGUGUUUAAAGCAGGCAUUAGCUUGAAUACAUUAGCAUGGAAUAAUGAAAUAGGACGUUUGAUCCUAUUUUGUUGGUUUCUAGGACUGACGUAAUGAUUAAUAGGGAUAGUUGGGGGCAUUAGUAUUCAAUUGUCAGAGGUGAAAUUCUUGGAUUUAUUGAAGACUAACUACUGCGAAAGCAUUUGCCAAGGAUGUUUUCAUUAAUCAAGAACGAAAGUUAGGGGAUCGAAGACGAUCAGAUACCGUCGUAGU
rnacentral:rRNA from 1 species